GACCUCGACCUCCUCGGCGAAGUAUUUGGGCUUGGCCACGGCGUCGGGCAACGGGGGAAUGGGCACUCCCCCGUCGCUGAGUCUCCACCCCAUCGGCCCGGCGCGCAUGUCCGGCGGCGCCAGGAUGUUCGCCUAGAACAGGAGCCAGGACUCCUGUUCGUGCAGCGAACAGCGGCCGAAGCCGUUGGCCGCCGCCUCGUCUCCGGGGAAACACUCUGCCAUGGCGACGUGUUCGGGAGAGGUAGAGAGGGAGAGGGAGGGGCUGGGCGGCGGCGAGGGGCGGGGCUAGUGUGGGCACAUGCGAGUGAGGCCACCGGCUAUAUAGCCGCGCCGCGCCCGUGUGUACGCGUGCGAGGGAGGGGAGGCGUCGGUGCGCUGCCCCGUGACGCGCCGCCCGUGAGGAAUCAAUGGCAAGGCUGCCGGUCAGCCUUGCCAUUGAUUCCCCGCGGGAACCGAGGCCGUUGGGGGAAGACGAGGCGUCGUGUCACUGACGCGGCUGGCCCGCAGCUUUUUCGGGCCAAAACAGCUCGCUCCGGCGCCCCGGGGCGCCCCCCCAGUGCGCCGGGUUCGGCCUGGGUCCGUCGGCGCUGUUUUCGGCCUAGGCCGGCGAAAAUCGGGCUCCUGGGGGCACGACUGGGCCGUUUUUUCGGCGCCGGCACGAAAAAAUCGCCUGGGGAGGCCUUCCUGGGGGCGCGGCUGGAGAUGCUCUAAGGAGCAAGAACAUGGGUUUGAGCAAUAAGUGAUUUUUUCUGGAGGAAGAAGAAGGGAAUGUGCGGCUGGGGUAAGUGAGUGGGUCCCUGUGGGACCCACAAGCCCACAUGGAGCGCCCUAGGGGGUGGCGCGCCCUAUGAGCUUGUGGCUCACAGGUGCAUCCCCCGGAGUGUGUUCAAAAUAGUUAAAUAUUCUAUAGAAAUCAUACAUAUUUUCCUCGGCAUAGAAGACCAGUUCGGGGGCUACUAACGGUGUCCUGGAUAAGGGAGUACUAACCCACCCGACCCAUUCUCUUCGGGUUGGGUCAACAAGCCUUAAUUCGUGAUCAGAUGGACUCCGAAAGCUAUAUGCAGGAGGCGUGAUCAAGUCUGCCUCCCCCGAAGACUUGACCUAUACUCCAAGAUCUCUGAUGCCACCUAGCUCCUAGUUACCGACCAUGUAACCCUACGUAGCCUCCCUGGCAUGUAUAUAAGUCAUAGGGUUUAGCCCGUAGAGGGGACAUCAACACAAAAUCAUUCACCUAGCCCUAGAGUUAGACCACACAUUACUAUCUCAAGGUAGAUUAAUUUUGUACUCGAUACAUCUCCAUCAAUAUAAACAAGAACAGGGCGUAGGGGUUUUACAUCCAUCAAGAGGGCCAGAACCUGGGUAAACACCGUCUCCUUCGUUCCUGUUACCCUCGAUCCGAGAUCUACAGCUCGGGACCCCCUACCCCGAGGUCUACCGGUUUUGACACCGGCAUAAAUGCUUCGUAAUUGAGAGGUGUGAUCUCCUUAGGUUUCUGCUAAGGGCAUCCUUACCUUCUGUUUUUCGUAGUGAAUGCUUCUUAAAUGAGAGGUGUGAUCUCCUUAGGUUUCUGUUCAUGGAUCCAAGGUCCCUCCCAAAAUGGGGUCUUUGAGCCAUUGCCAUUGGUGAUCGUGGUGGGGACAUAGAAGAGAUCAUGGUGCUUCUCGUCACAAGGAUUUCUCAUACCAACCCAUAACUUGUAUGGUUCGUUCCAUUCAUACCACGACCAUAUUAACCUUCAAACUCUGGCAAAUUUCAUGGCGUUCAGCACGCAAGGAUACCUUACUCAUAGGCCGAUACUGGUAGUCUUGUCUGGUCCGUACCAAGGAUAGUCCCUCUCAGUCUUGUUUGUGUUGCAUAUAGUUCUCUGGGGAACGAUGAGAGGAGCAAUGGCCGUGAUGUUGUUGCCCUUCCAUGGGGUAAACUUGUCUUAAAGGAAUUGAAAGUCCAAUCUCUUGAAUGUCUUGUUUGUUGUACGAACUAAUUUUUUCCAUACUUCCUUUGUACGACCCGAAAUCAUUGAGUCGGUGAUGUCAAAUUGAAUUACUCUAGUUAAUUUUGUUUAAUUUCUAAUUGUUGAUUUUCUUUUGAGGUAGUGUAUGUCAAAUUGAAUUACUCUAGUUAAUUUUGUUUAAUUUCUAAUUGUUGAUUUUCUUUUGAGGUAGUGUUAUUUGCCGUUAUUUAUAGCCGCUUAAUUUUAGCCCUGGCUUUGAUGAAUUCUGGCUUUACCUCUGUUGCCCCCGGCAAACCAUUGUUCAACAUUGUGUAUAUAAUCCAUAAAGAGAGGACCCUGAUUUUGACGCCAAAAAACCCCCUAUAGGCGCGUCACUCAUGCAUGUGUAAGUGAGCUGGUCUAAGGAAUUGAGUAGGCAUUUUCGUGGUGAGAUAAACAUGGCACUAUAUAGAAACACAGAGACAGACAUUUGUCCAUCAACAUGACAGUGCAAAACUAUGCAAUGCAACCCCACCAUUCAUCAUUCCAAUGAGCCUCAGCCCAGUCCAGCCCCCACUCUACCUACAUUCCUCAGAUAAUAAUAAUAUCCAGAUGCUCCAACCAGACAACAAAAAUGUAGUACUAGUAGUAGUACAAGGUAGUAUAAAUUACAAAUCAAGACAAAGCUAACCCUCUGAAGUCUGAACGGAGACAAAGGCACAGAAAGAACCAAAGCGCCGCUAAGCCCUAGCGCUGGCUGCUCCUGGAUCAGCCCCCUCCCACGCUCUUUAUAAACCGCCCCAACCCCAGUGCCACUGCCCCACCCCACCCCAUGAUCUGAUCCACAAAGCUCCUGGAAGCCACCACGCCACCUUUGCUCGCUCGCCCUUCCUCUGCUCCAAGAAGCCUUUUCUUUGAGCUCGAGUGUUCGCUUGCUUGCCCUCCACCGCCAUGAUCCAAGAACUCCUCGGAGGCACGGCCAUGGAGCAGCAGCAGCAGCAGCAGCAGCUCAAGUGCGCCGGCAACGCCGCGAACCACCACGGCUCGCUCCCCAUGGUGCUGCAGCCCAUCUCCUCCAACCCGUCCCCCACGUCCUCCUCCACCUCCUCGCGCUCCUCCACGCAGCGGUCGCCCUCGGCCGCGUCGUCGCCGCAGGGGCAGGGGCAGGCGCAGCAGGGGCCGCCGGGGCCGGAGCAGGCGCCGCUGCGUUGCCCCCGGUGCAACUCCUCCAACACCAAGUUCUGCUACUACAACAACUACAACCUCACACAGCCGCGCCACUUCUGCAAGACGUGCCGCCGCUACUGGACCAAGGGCGGCGCGCUCCGCAACGUCCCCAUCGGCGGCGGCUGCCGCAAGCCGCGCCCCAUGCCGGCGCCCGUCGCCAAGGCGCAGCCCUCCUCCUGCAAGUCCGUGCUCGGCAUGGGCGUCGGCGCCGCGCCGUCCCUCGGCCUCGGCAUGGGCGUGGGCGGCGGCAUGUCCUGGGCCUCCGCGCCGCAGACCGCCACCGCGCAGCUCAUGGCGCUGCUCAACAGCGCCAGGGCCGGCUACGCCGGCAGCAACAUGCACCGGCUUCUCGGCCUUGACACCAUGGGGCAGCUCCAGGUCCUGCCGGGGUCGGCCAACGGCGGGCAGGGCAUGUCGCCGUCGCUGUGGCCGCAGGCGACGCACCGGCCGACCAUGCCUCCGCCACCAAUGCACCUCGGCAUGGGCUCGCUGGGGCUGGGCCAGGGCCAGGGCCACCACAACCUGCUGUCAGGGCUGGAGCUCAAGCCGCCCUCAUCUUCACCGUCACCAUCUUCACUCGCGGCGAGCUACUACAGCGACCAGCUGAACGCGGUGGUGAGCAACGGCGGCGCGGGCCGCCCGCACCCGUACGACACCCAGGCGUCGUCCUACCCUUGCAGCACGGCGAUGUGCUCGCUCCCGCCGUCCGCGUCGACCGUCUCGGCGGCGCAGAGCAGCCACACCGUGGGAAUGGACCAGCAGCCACCCACCAUGUCGCUGGGCACGCAGGAGAUGCAGUACUGGAGCGGCGGGCCGGCGUCAAUGAUGGCAUGGCCGGACUUGCCCACUCUCAACGGCGCCUUCCCAUGAUCGGCCUCGACAACGCCGGCCGGCCGGCCGGCUGUUACAUGCAUGAUGACAGCAAUAGCGUAGCUCAGCUCAGUCUAGCGUCGUGUGGUUUCCUUCUCAAUUAUUACUUGUGUUUUCCUUUUGUUAAUCAAUCAGUGGGGGGUGACGUGACGAGUAACUUCGGUUUACUGUCUGCUUAGCUAGGUUUAUCAGUAUUAAGAGAGUAGUAACUGGUGGUGCUGGUAUAGUGGUAUAGUCUUCAAGUCAGGAGGGUCACUGGCAAAUUAUGGUGGGGUGUAGUUCAAGAAGAUGUCGAUCGAUUUCGUUUCAAAAUGUCGAUGAAUGUGUGUUUGUGUAAGGUUACAUUUGCAUUUGCUGCAAGCUGGUCUAGUACUUAUUUGUCUGCAAACUACCUACUUCACUUUGGUCCCAAAAACAAAAAUGCAAACGUACACAGGUUUGGGGGUCGCAACUCGCAAGCAAGUACUCC
rnacentral:lncRNA from 1 species